UGGGGAAUUUUGGACAAUGGGCGAAAGCCUGAUCCAGCAAUGCCGCGUGUGUGAAGAAGGCCUUCGGGUUGUAAAGCACUUUUGUCCGGAAAGAAAUCCUUGGCUCUAAUACAGUCGGGGGAUGACGGUACCGGAAGAAUAAGCACCGGCUAACUACGUGCCAGCAGCCGCGGUAAUACGUAGGGUGCAAGCGUUAAUCGGAAUUACUGGGCGUAAAGCGUGCGCAGGCGGUUUGCUAAGACCGAUGUGAAAUCCCCGGGCUCAACCUGGGAACUGCAUUGGUGACUGGCAGGCUAGAGUAUGGCAGAGGGGGGUAGAAUUCCACGUGUAGCAGUGAAAUGCGUAGAGAUGUGGAGGAAUACCGAUGGCGAAGGCAGCCCCCUGGGCCAAUACUGACGCUCAUGCACGAAAGCGUGGGGAGCAAACAGGAUUAGAUACCCUGGUAGUCCACGCCCUAAACGAUGUCAACUAGUUGUUGGGGGAUUCAUUUCCUUAGUAACGUAGCUAACGCGUGAAGUUGACCGCCUGGGGGAGUACGGUCGCAAGAUUAAAACUUAAAUGAAUUGACGGGGUCAUAGCUGUUUCCU
rnacentral:rRNA from 1 species